rnacentral:rRNA from 1 species
GGCUCAGGACGAACGCUGGCGGCGUGCUUAACACAUGCAAGUCGAACGAUGAAAGAGAGCUUGCUCUCUGGAUUAGUGGCGAACGGGUGAGUAACACGUGAGUAACCUGCCCUUGACUCUGGGAUAAGCGUUGGAAACGACGUCUAAUACCGGAUACGAGCUUCAGCCGCAUGGCUAGGAGCUGGAAAGAAUUUUGGUCAAGGAUGGACUCGCGGCCUAUCAGGUAGUUGGUGAGGUAACGGCUCACCAAGCCGACGACGGGUAGCCGGCCUGAGAGGGUGACCGGCCACACUGGGACUGAGACACGGCCCAGACUCCUACGGGAGGCAGCAGUGGGGAAUAUUGCACAAUGGGCGAAAGCCUGAUGCAGCAACGCCGCGUGAGGGACGACGGCCUUCGGGUUGUAAACCUCUUUUAGUAGGGAAGAAGCGAAAGUG